rnacentral:rRNA from 1 species
CUACGGGACGCACCAGUCGGGGAUCUUUUGCAAUGCACGAAAGUGUGACAAAGCGAGCCAGAGUGUUUCUCUUAUUUGAGAAACUUUUAUCAGAUGUAAAAAGUCUGAUGAAUAAGGACUGGGCAAGACCGGUGCCAGCCGCCGCGGUAAUACCGGCGGUCCAAGUCGCAGCCACAAUUAUUGGGUCUAAAACAUCCGUAGCUUGUUUUGUAAGUUUCCUGUGAAAUCUCAUUUCUCAAGAAUGAGGCGUGCAAGAAAUACUGCAGAACUAGAGACCGGGAGAUGCAAGGAGUAUGGUUAGGGUAGUGGUAAAAUACGUUAAUCCUAAUUAGACUAACAAUGGCGAAGGCACCUUGCAAGCACGGAUCUGACAGUAAGGGAUGAAGGCUAGGGGCGCAAAACGGAUUAGAUACCCGAGUAGUC